rnacentral:lncRNA from 1 species
CAGAAGCUCAACAUUUAUAUCAGUCCAUCUUGCCUGAUAUGGUGAAAAUUGCACUCUGUCUGCCAAAUAUUUGCACCCAGCCAAUACCACUCCUGAAACAGAAGAUGAAUCAUUCCAUCACAAUGUCGCAGGAACAGAUUGCCAGUCUUUUAGCUAAUGCUUUCUUCUGCACAUUUCCACGAUGAAAUGCUCAGAUGAAAUCGGAGUAUUCUAGUUACCCAGACAUUAACUUCAAUCGAUUGUUUGAGGGACGUUCAUCAAGGAAACCGGAGAAACUUAAAACGCUCUUCUGCUACUUUAGAAGAGUCACAGAGAAAAAACCUACUGGGUUGGUGACAUUUACAAGACAGAGUCUUGAAGAUUUUCCAGAAUGGGAAAGAUGUGAAAAACCCUUGACACGAUUGCAUGUCACUUACGAAGGUACCAUAGAAGAAAAUGGCCGAGGCAUGCUACAGGUGGAUUUUGCAAAUCAUUUUGUUGGAGGUGGUGUAACCAGUGCAGGACUUGUGCAAGAAGAAAUCCGCUUUUUAAUCAAUCCUGAGUUGAUUAUUUCACGGCUCUUCACUGAGGUGCUGGAUCACAAUGAAUGUCUAAUUAUCACAGUGUCAGAGAUGGCUUUGGAUUCCCCAUUCUGUGUGCUGCUGUCUGGCUCCUGA